rnacentral:tRNA from 1 species
CGGGGCGUAGCGCAGCCCGGUAGCGCGCCACGUUCGGGACGUGGAGGUCGGUGGUUCAAAUCCACUCGCCCCGA